AAAGUGAUUCCAAAAACUCAUUUGUUUCAGUUUAUUUGUAUUAGUAACUAACGAAGCAUUUCGAUCUUUUCCAAAUUGCUUUUUGAUUCGCAGUCAUUAUGUUUCGCCCAUUGACCAUGGAAUCUGUGAAGAGAAUGGAUCGCUCGAGGGAAGAGGUUCAUGCCACUCUGGUGCUUUUUGGGCUUACUUGUGCUCUAAUUCGAUUUGUACCUAUCAUCAUGAGAAAGAUAUCUUCCUAGAGAUCAAAAAUGAUUGCAAAUCCAUUUUUAAUACGAAUGCAAAUAUGCAGAAGUGAUGGCUUCGAUCGACUUUACGGCCUAAGAUUUACUUGUUUUAAUCCCCAAAAUAAAUUAGCUUUUAAGAUAUUUCAAUCACUGGCACAGUUCGGCAUUUCUUUUGGCCAGAUUCAUCAUUAAUCAACACCUUUUUUGCUCCCUGUGAAACACCUUUAUCCCAAAACCCAGGAUGACAUUCUAUUAGUGAAGAGAGAAAAAAAACAAUGCGAAAGCUGGAAACUACAAAUGGAAAAUUCUUUUCGCUCAUUUGCAUAAAUCGACCAUAAAACCAAACCGAAAACCGAAAUAUAGAAAAAAAAAAAGGGAAAGCCAAAAUCUGUGGGAAAUGCCCACGAAACCAAAGUGACAUCUUCAUUUAUCAAGUGUGCAAAAUCUACCGAGCCUCAUCCACCACAUUAAAUGAUAAAUUGCCCAGUUUUGCUGUGGACCACAUGUCGUAUGAUUGACGUGUGCACUAAUGCCCGGCCAAGGCUUAUUCUGGCUCUGUCUCCAGUCUCCAGUCGCCAGUCUAGAACCCUCCUCGUAUCCCAGGGUCGUCGCAGUCUCUGCAAAACUAUGCAAAAUCGCAUCCAAACUAUUUAUAAUAUUUUAAGCCCUGCACAUCUCUCUGCCACCCCAUCAAUCUGCUUGCCUCGCCUCAUAUUAGUUAUGCAGGCGGGCUGCGUUGAUGAGAAAAUGCAAAUUAGUUGCCAACUUUGCCACAGCCCGCUACUCAUGGAGUAAAUAGCUAAAAAAAAAAAAGGAUACGGAGGAGGAGGGUGGCUGGCUGCAUCACCUGCUCUUCAUCAGUGUCACAGACAGCCGAAAAGUAUGCAAGCAUUUUUCGCACUUUAUAAUUAAACAACUGAAAAGACAAAGAGGACUUAAAGGCGUUGCCUGGCCGCCUUCCUUUACCCCCCUCCCCCGCAUCCAAACCAGCGACUGGCAACAUUUGCACUGUAAUGAACUUUUGCAAUAAACUGCGCCGCAAUUUUUCGCUGACAAAGUUUUGCCCUUUCCACCAUCAAGACGCCAGGACACAGACACAGACCGGAGCGGAGGCGGAGACGGAAGUGCGGGCACCAUUUUGUGCCUUUUGCUUAUUUGUUUUGUUGCGUCUCUUAUUUCCGGAUAGCUGCGCAUUUUUAUUGCGCUCAAAAAGUAUAUGCAAGUUCAAAUGUCAAACUACUUAAAAACUUAUUGUUAGCAAAAGUACGACAAACGGCAGUGGGAGUAAAAGAACUUCGCCUGUGGAUUCCAAUUUCCACUUCGCAGAUCGCUUUCUCUAGCCUGGAUUCGAAGAAAAAGAAGGCACAUCAUUAGCCAAACUAUAUUUAAGCCAGAGAACGGAUUCUCCAAAUAUUAAUAUAAACCGAUUCUGCAUAGAACCCAAAAACUUUA